AGGCUGCAACUCGCCUACAUGAAGUCGGAAUUGCUAGUAAUCGCGGAUCAGCAUGCCGCGGUGAAUACGUUCCCGGGCCUUGUACACACCGCCCGUCACACCAUGGAAGUUGGUAACACCCGAAGCCUGUAGCCUAACCGCAAGGAGGGCGCAGUCGAAGGUGGGAUUGAUGACUGGGGUGAAGUCGUAACAAGGUACC
rnacentral:rRNA from 1 species